rnacentral:lncRNA from 1 species
AUCAGAUGGCGGCAUGAACAUGACGAAGCACCAUAAGAUGAUGAUGCAUAUGACCUUCUUUUGGGGCAGCGACGCCGAGAUUCUCUUCUCCGGUUGGCCGGGAACCAGAACCAGCAUGUACGUCUUGGCCCUCAUAGUUGUCUUCCUGCUUGCUUUCAUGGUGGAGGGGAUUUCUCACUCUCGGUUGGUGAAACCCGGUUCCACCCACCACGUGACCGCCGGUCUGGUUCAGACUUUGUUGCAUGCUCUGAGGGUUGGACUCGCGUAUCUGGUGAUGUUGGCUAUCAUGUCUUUCAACGGUGGCGUUUUCUUGGCCGCCGUGGCUGGCCAUUCUCUGGGGUUUUUAUUAUUUGGCAGUCAUGUUUUUAACAAACCUUCCGCCACCGUCCCCAACGCCAAAACAUCCGAUCUUCCGCCUAUGAGUUGUUGAAUAUUAGGGUUUAUUUCUUUCGGGUUUGGGUCUAAAAGGAUUGAUGUUUAUGGUUUUAGAGUUUUGUUUUUAUCUUUUAAUCUGUGCUUUGCUCUGUAUUUGUUUUUCAUUUGAUACAAAAAAAAAAAAAAAGAUUGCUUAAUAACCAGUGAUUGUACAUUUUACCCAUUCAUAUCCUUGGAUUAUUAUUGAUUCCUAUCUUUAGCAUGAGGCUGUGGUCGAGACAGUGCAAUAGCCGGUUUGAAUUUAUUAAUAUAAUUAUAUUUUUUUAUGUAUAUAAAUUUUCGAAUCAAUUCCGAUUUAAAAUAUUGUGUAGAUUAAUAUUGAUGGAAUAGUUCAAAGCCUUAAUUUAUAGUUAAAUUUGACAUAUAUAAAUAGACUAUAAAUCUGAUAAAUUAGAUCAUUAAAAUAUUAAUUGUGUAAAAAUAUCAAUAAUUUUAAUUUAAUAAACUAAUUAUAAAAUCGAUUUUAUUAACCUAAUCAACUUAACUGAAGGGAUCAAAAAGCAUUACAUUUAAUUAAAUCAGUUUCAACUCCAACCACUUUUUACUCAACGCUAAUUAUGAUUUUAUGACAGGUGAAGUCAUUAGGGUUUGGGUUCCUUGUUGGAUGGAAUUAGCAGGAAGUUGCGGGUCAAGUCAUUGUCCAAUGAAUGCAAUUGAUGGGUGGUUCUUCUAUCUAUUACCUUCACAUCAAGGAUUCAAUAAAAUGUGUACCAUCCAUAUUUAGGGUUGCAUUUAAGAUAUUUUCUCUAAUAUCAUGAUAUUUUGCAUUUUGCAAGUGGGCACCACUAUUUAAGAUACCUUGUUUUUAUGCACAAAUGUUGCAUACAUGUUACUAUUUAUAACCAUGUGCUUUUAUCUAUAUAAUCGAGUUUGGUUUCUGCUCAUAAAAAUGGAGCACAUUUCAUUGCUAAUUGUUUACAUUAUCGGAGAAUAACCACAAUGAAAGGUUUAGUCACUAUCUGUUGGUGGUGGUGCUUUAGUUAUGAUAAAAAAAAGAUUUGUGUAUGUCUUCAAUUGACAUCCUGCCCGAUCUUUGGAUAACUCUCACUCGUUAGACAUUAUAAAACUCAUACACAUAAGAAUAAAUAGAUUAAAUUCAUGAAAGUAAAAGAACUAAAUUUCAAAUAUGGUAAAGGUAUAGUGACUGAAAACAGAAUUAGACCUAUAAUUUAUAUAACUGAUUAAUGGCAACAUUUAAAAAAAAAAAAAUUUAACAUUCAGUAUUCAAUUGGUUUUUUAGAAACAUAUUAUUCUUUUGUUAGCACUUUCAAACUUUAAAUUUCAUGGGAAGAAACGUAAUGAACUUCUACCUUAUAAUUCAUGCUGCCGAUGAGCAUGCAUGCAUGCAAAUGGCAUGGUAAAGGAUUAAAAAGGAUUUAUUUAUUUAUUAUUAUUUUUUUUAAAACUUAACUUGUUGAAUAAAAAAACAAAAACACAUGUACUAUUUACCCAAAAUGAACAAAAAUGGUACUUUCAAAGAAACCCAUCAAUUAAAGCAACCUUCCUAAAUACUCAAAAGGCAAUCAAUGAUUUUAAGGAAAAAAAUCUUUGCAUUCCUUUUUUAUCUGUGUAUACUAAGAUGUUGCUGUCAUGAAAAACCACUUAUGCUAGUGGGAUAUUAUAUAUAUAUAUAUACACACACGUUGUUUGGCAAUUGGAUGAUAAUUGAUUGUUGAUUGUCGAUUGUAGUGAUUGAUUUUACCAAUUGCUUUUAUUAACUCUUUAUUUAAAAAUGUUUAAAAAAACUUAGUUGAUAGUUGAAAACUAAUAUGUGUAAAAUGACAAAUAAAAGCAUGAUACAUUUUAUUAUUAAAUAUUUAUUUAUUUAUAAUACUUUUGUCUUUAUUGAGUGAAAUUAUUGAAAUAAAACACUCUUAUCAAGGAAUUAAAACAUCCAUUAUGGGAAAUUAAUUAGUCAAUAUUUUUAAAAAUUUAAAUAAAUAAAUUUCUUAAGUUCCUUAUUUGCAAAGUAUUUUUUAUUUAAAUAAACAUUCAUUAUGGAAAUUAAUUAGUGAGUAAACAUAGUUAGAUAUGUCAUUCUACGUAUCUCAUUCCCAAUCAACUAGGAAAAAGUUGUCCAUCCUUACGUUUUUUGUUUUGGAAGUUUUAGCUUAAUAAGCUCUUGCAAACUUUCAUUCACCAAACACUACAAUUAAAGGGUUUGACUAUUCAAUCCUCCGUUUGUACCCAAAUCAAUUAAAAAAGACCCAAAACUUUGUUUACUAAACACCCCUACACAUUUUUUUUAUCUUAUUAUAUAUUAUUAUAAAAAAAAAUACAUAUUUGAUGUUCCUUAUUACGUCCAUGGAUAUUAAAAUGUGUGUGCAAAAGGCAAGGUGCACGCCGUACUGCCGUGUGCUGAUCAGAGCAACAACGGGGCGGUGGUUUAAUUUGUCGAAGUGAUAAAUUCAACUUUUAUUAAUGGUUUAAUUAUGCUCUCAGUUCUUGUAUUCUGCAUAUUUAAAAUUUAACCCUUCUAUUUUUAUUUAAUAAUAACGUGAAAGGACUUUCGUUAAAGAAGCAAAUGAAUAUAUUGAAUAUAGGAUUAUAAAGUUUUCAAUUUCGAGUUUUUCAACAUUAAUUGGUUCAAAGAAGUAGAGUGGACACGGCUUUAACUUGGCCAUGUAAGUAAAUUGUUUUUAACCACAACAGAAUCCAAUUUAAAUAAAAAAAAUAGAGGGACUAAGUUGUAAGACAUUAAAAGGAGACUAAAUUUAAAAUGUAUGAAUAGUAUAGGGACUGAGAGCAGAAUUGGACCUUUAUGAAUUUCUCCUUCAUUCUUGAAUCUUCUCUUCUCUUGUGAUAUCCAUUGCCAUAUUCCCCAAUUCUUGACUUCUUAGAAAAACUAAGGUCAUCAAUUAAUUAUGCUUUGGGUUGUGGUUUUUAGCUGUGAUUUC